GUGGGGAAUAUUGCGCAAUGGGCGAAAGCCUGACGCAGCCACGCCGCGUGGGUGAUGAAGGCCUUCGGGUUGUAAAGCCCUGUCGUGAGGGAAGAACACAAUGACGGUACCUCACAAGAAAGCACCGGCCAACUCCGUGCCAGCAGCCGCGGUAAUACGGAGGGUGCGAGCGUUGCUCGGAAUCACUGGGCGUAAAGCGUACGCAGGCGGAUCGUUAAGUCGGGUGUGAAAGCCCGGGGCUCAACCCCGGAACUGCAUUCGAAACUGGCGGUCUUGAGUACGGGAGAGGGAGGUGGAAUUCCUGGUGUAGAGGUGAAAUUCGUAGAUAUCAGGAGGAACACCGGUGGCGAAAGCGGCCUCCUGGCCCGAUACUGACGCUCAUGUACGAGAGCGUGGGGAGCAAACAGGAUUAGAUACCCCAGUAGUCC
rnacentral:rRNA from 1 species